rnacentral:rRNA from 1 species
GACUGAGUGGCGGACGGGUGAGUAACGCGUGGGUAACCUGCCUCGUACAGGGGGAUAACAGUUAGAAAUGACUGCUAAUACCGCAUAAGCGCACAGUGCUGCAUGGCACAGUGUGAAAAACUCCGGUGGUAUGAGAUGGACCCGCGUCUGAUUAGCUAGUUGGUGGGGUAACGGCCUACCAAGGCGACGAUCAGUAGCCGACCUGAGAGGGUGACCGGCCACAUUGGGACUGAGACACGGCCCAAACUCC